GGGCCAAUCGUAUAGUGGCUUAUUAUGCUGUCUUAGGGCGUUCACCUCGAUUCCUAGAGGUGGUUCUAAGUUGACAGAGGUCCCCGGUUCGAUUCCGGGUUGGCCCC